UGGAAGAUAUAAUUGAGGCUGCUAACUUCGAUUGGGGGCUUUAAGCUCCGCUUCUAC
rnacentral:tRNA from 1 species